UGGCAAAAUGGCCCAAACCACAGGGACUAAAAUGGCAAUUAACUCAAUUAAAUAUGUCCACAUAUGAGAUAAUCUUUACUUGUGCUUUAAUGACAGCUUCGUAAUCAUCUGGUGAAGCUCGAAACUUUGCUUCUGCGACGAAUUUACCGUAAUGGAUUCGUUUAGAGAGGACCUGCAAGAUUGUGUCACAUGUUGCGGUUGACCCGCAGUUAC
rnacentral:lncRNA from 1 species